rnacentral:rRNA from 1 species
CCCUGCACUCUGGGACAAGCCCUGGAAACGGGGUCUAAUACCGGAUACUGACCAUCACGGGCAUCUGUGAUGGUCGAAAGCUCCGGCGGUGCAGGAUGAGCCCGCGGCCUAUCAGCUUGUUGGUGAGGUAAUGGCUCACCAAGGCGACGACGGGUAGCCGGCCUGAGAGGGCGACCGGCCACACUGGGACUGAGACACGGCCCAGACUCCUACGGGAGGCAGCAGUGGGGAAUAUUGCACAAUGGGCGAAAGCCUGAUGCAGCGACGCCGCGUGAGGGAUGACGGCCUUCGGGUUGUAAACCUCUUUCAGCAGGGAAGAAGCGAAAGUGACGGUACCUGCAGAAGAAGCGCCGGCUAACUACGUGCCAGCAGCCGCGGUAAUACGUAGGGCGCAAGCGUUGUCCGGAAUUAUUGGGCGUAAAGAGCUCGUAGGCGGCUUGUCACGUCGGUUGUGAAAGCCCGGGGCUUAACCCCGGGUCUGCAGUCGAUACGGGCAGGCUAGAGUUCGGUAGGGGAGAUCGGAAUUCCUGGUGUAGCGGUGAAAUGCGCAGAUAUCAGGAGGAACACCGGUGGCGAAGGCGGAUCUCUGGGCCGAUACUGACGCUGAGGAGCGAAAGCGUGGGGAGCGAACAGGAUUAGAUACCCUGGUAGUCCACGCCGUAAACGGUGGGCACUAGGUGUG